rnacentral:rRNA from 1 species
CGGCGUGCCUAACACAUGCAAGUCGUACGAGAAAGUCGGCUUCGGCUGAUGAGUAAAGUGGCGCACGGGUGAGUAACGCGUGGAUAAUCUGCCCUUGAGUGUGGAAUAACGUACCGAAAGGUGCGCUAAUACCGCAUAAUGCCUGGCAACACAAGUUGUCCGGCCAAAGAAGGCCUCUGUUUACAAGCUUUCGCUUCAGGAUGAGUCCGCGUACCAUUAGCUUGUUGGUGGGGUAAUGGCCUACCAAGGCUGCGAUGGUUAGCUGGUCUGAGAGGAUGAUCAGCCACACUGGAACUGAGACACGGCCCAGACUCCUACGGGAGGCAGCAGUGGGGAAUUUUGGACAAUGGGCGCAAGCCUGAUCCAGCCAUGCCGCGUGAGUGGAGAAGGCCUUCGGGUCGUAAAGCUCUUUCGGCUGGGAAGAAAUCGCAUCUCCUAAUACGGGGUGUGGAUGACGGUACCAGCAUAAGAAGCACCGGCUAACUACGUG